rnacentral:rRNA from 1 species
CGCGUAGGCGGUCCUAUAAGUCAGAUGUGAAAGCUCCGGGCUCAACCCGGGAAUUGCAUCUGAUACUGUAAGGCUUGAGUUCGGUAGAGGAGGGCGGAAUUCCAGGUGUAGCGGUGAAAUGCGUAGAUAUCUGGAGGAACACCCGUGGCGAAGGCGGCUCUCUGGUCCGAAACUGACGCUGAGGUGCGAAAGCUAGGGUAGCAAACA